UAAGUAGAGGCAACCGGAAUCCGUCCCGGACAACGGAAACCGGCCAUGACGACGGUAAAAGAUUGGGCAACCGGAAAAAAGUUUCAGCCAUAGUACUACACUACUCUCAUCCCCUUGCCCUCAAUCAGAGAUAUUUAGAACUCAUGUUUCAGAGUCCACAGAUUUGACCAAGACGCUACUGAGAGUUCAGCUAAGUCAUCUGAAGUUCCCUAUGGAGCCAAAAGACGUAAAAUUGCAUCUGGAAGGAUUAAGCUUUGGCGUUGCUAUGGAACAAGAAGCAGAACAAACAAAUUACAUGACAGAUGGCUAGUAAAUGUGAAGAAUUUAAACCUAUUGGGCAAUAACAGUUUAAUUAAGUCAUUCGGUAGCAAAUUAGUUCGGCAAAGUAUGAUUACUCCUGUACAUUCUGCUGCGGAAACUGAAGAUACAAGGAAAUCAUUCAACGUCCUGCAAUGGGAGAAUCUGUAGAGCGUGGAUGGUAUGAUCAUCGCAAAAUAGGAUAACUGAGUGCUUCAGAAGCGAGCAGGGCCACUAAAGCUGCCAAAAUAUUAAUGCCAGUAAAUCCUUACUUGCAGAUUCUUGACUGGGAACCUAGCCGAUUUUCUUAGGCAUAUAUCUGAAGAAUCACCUGAUAAAGCCACUCUAAAGGGUCUUUCUGGAGGAACUUGGAAUGUGAAACUACAAUGUGAUGGAAGAGGGCUUUCUUAUACACAAAGGUUGGAAGAAAUUUCAGAAAAAUUACCAACUAGAAUAUGGGGAAUUUCUCUGUUUGGGUACGAGACGCUGCUAUUUACAGUAAGAAUUUUCAGCAAGAAUGGACUUGAGAGAGGUAUGAAGUCAACGGCCAUGGGAAAAAAUCAACAAGCUUCAAAUAUGCUGGGGGAAGGAAGCGAAAAAGGCCAGAAAAAUAACCUUACAGUUUUAAAUUCCCUAGACAGAGUUGUGUGGACGUCGAAAAUGGCACAGGUUUAUGAGCAAAAGUGGUGGAUCCAUUAUAUCAGAAUUCUUCAGUGCAGAAUUUAGGAGUGCAGUACUUAGCACUAUGAGAGCUUCGGACAUGGUGAUUCGUGGUGAGGGACAUCAUCGUCCAAAGCUUGAAGUGCAGAGUUUUGGGUGCAUAUUUUGAGAAGCUGGGCUCAAAAUCUUUUGUUGUAUAUUCAAUUGCGGUUACUGAUGCCAAUAACAGUACUUGGUUUGUAAAGAGAAGGAUCUCUUGUCAAUUGCCAAUGUGGCAGAGCAACAUAAAGUGAAGGAUUUUCUCAGUGCCUCUUCCAAGUUAACGUGGAUGAUGCUGUGGAUGAUAUUGUACGUCCAUUUUAAGGUGUUUCUGAUGGCUUGAUGUGUAAAGUUGUUGACUCUCCUUCAUCUUCUUCUUAUAAACCUACUACCUCUACUUCAGACAGAAAUUUGUUUUGGAACGUGGAGGAAAUACAUAAACUGGCUUUAACACAAAGUAACUCUGAGUCAGUUAAUAGUUUCUCUGACAAUGAUGACGGUGAUAAAGAUGGAAGCCGCCACAGGCAUGAUGAAGUAGGACCUAGUUCAGAAGACAUGGGCAGCAUUUGGACAAUGAGUUGAAUUCAAAAGGAUUUACCCCUUGGGUGGUUAAACAUGACGAAGAGCUGAUAAGCUCAGCAACGGACUUGAAGAAUGGUUCUAGGCUACAAUGUGAUUCUUUCAGUUCUGGAGGAUUUCCGGUGACAAAUUUGAUAGUAGUUCCCAGUCAAGAAGAGGAUCCAGUUGGAGUGCCACCAGAGUGGACACCGCCCAAUUUAAGUGUACCUAUAUUAAAUUUUGCGGACAAGAUUUUUCAGCUGAACAGAAGAGGCUGGCUAAGGAGAUAGGUAUUUUGGAUAUCAUAGGAAAUUAUGCAGUUAAUGAUGGAGGAUGCUAUUGUCGAUUGGCUGUUAAGGCAAAUGCAUUGGCUAUGAGAGAGGAUGUUAUUGCUCGGGGAAUCAAAUGGAUUCAAGAUAACUCAUGUUUCAGAGUCCACAUAUUUGAUUAAGCCGCUACUCAGAGUUCAGCUAAGUCAUCUGAACUUCCCUAUGGAGUUAAAAGACGUAAAAUUGCAUCUGGAAGGAUUAAACUUUGGCGUUGCUAUGAAACAAGAUGCAGAACAAACAAAUUACAUGACAGACUGCUAUUAAAUGCGAAGAAUUUAAACCUAUCGGGCAAUAGCAGUUUAAUUAAGUCACUCGGUGGAAAAUUAGUUCGGCGAAGUAUGAAAACUCCUGUACAUAUGCAGUGGAGACUGGAGGUAUGACUUAUCCAAAUAAUACACAAGAGGGAAUUGAAAACAAUAUACUUCAUGUCAAUGAAAGUAGAUAUACAGAGACUCCAGAUGCAUUUGGACUAGUAUCUUCAAAUAAAACCAAUUGCAAGACUGGCUAGUUUGUUUUUGCGACAAAAUAUUGCAAGUUUGAAAUUUUAUUUGCAUCGUAUUGAGAGCUAAUUUGAUAAAUUGCAGAUAACAAGGAAAUCAUUUACAGUCCAGCAAUGGGAAAAUCUGUAGAGCGUGGAUGCUAUGAUCAUCGCAAAAGUGGACAACCGAGUUGGAGGUUUAAAAUUUGCUGGAGAGUAGGAGGAAAUAAGACAACAAUUGUUCUCCAUAAAUCAGAAGGAAAAGAGUGGAAAGUAUAUCGUAUAUCACUAAAAGGAUAUCGCGCUUUAUGUGGAGGAUGGAAACAGUUUUUGAGUGAUAACAAGCUUAAUAAAGGACAUGUCUGUGUGUUUCAGCUUGUCAAUACAAAUGAACUGAAGGUUUCAUUUUCAACGAUCAUCCGAAAUCUCUGUUGAACUUGCUGCAUAAAGAUGUG